rnacentral:rRNA from 1 species
GAUGAACGCUGGCGGCGUGCUUAACACAUGCAAGUCGAGCGAUGAAGUUUCCUUCGGGAAACGGAUUAGCGGCGGMCGGGUGAGUAACACGUGGGUAACCUGCCUCAUAGAGUGGGAUAGCCUUCCGAAAGGAAGAUUAAUACCGCAUAACGUUGAAAGAUGGCAUCAUCAUUCAACCAAAGGAGCAAUCCGCUAUGAGAUGGACCCGCGGCGCAUUAGCUAGUUGGUGGGGUAAUGGCCUACCAAGGCGACGAUGCGUAGCYGACCUGAGAGGGUGAUCGGCCACAUUGGGACUGAGACACGGCCCAGACUCCUACGGGAGGCAGCAGUGGGGAAUAUUGCACAAKGGGGGAAACCCKGAUGCAGCAACGCCGCGKGAGUGAUGAAGGUUUUCGGAUCGUAAAGCUCUGUCUUUGGGGAAGAUAAUGACGKACCCA